GUGCUCACUUCCGCAGUACAUAUACUAAAAUUGGAAUGACACAGAGUAGAUUAGUAUGGACCCUGUACAAGAACGACCCGCAAAUUCGUGAUGUGUUCCAUAUUUUU
ensembl:snRNA U6 U6 spliceosomal RNA